rnacentral:rRNA from 1 species
GAGUUUGAUCCUGGCUCAGAUUGAACGCUGGCGGAAUGCUUUACACAUGCAAGUCGAACGGCAGCACGGGGCAACCUGGUGGCGAGUGGCGAACGGGUGAGUAAUACAUCGGAACGUGCCCAAUCGUGGGGGAUAACGUAGCGAAAGUUACGCUAAUACCGCAUACGAUCUACGGAUGAAAGCGGGGGAUCGCAAGACCUCGCGCGAAUGGAGCGGCCGAUGUCAGAUUAGGUAGUUGGUGGGGUAAAGGCUCACCAAGCCAACGAUCUGUAGCUGGUCUGAGAGGACGACCAGCCACACUGGAACUGAGACACGGUCCAGACUCCUACGGGAGGCAGCAGUGGGGAAUUUUGGACAAUGGGCGCAAGCCUGAUCCAGCCAUUCCGCGUGCAGGAUGAAGGCCUUCGGGUUGUAAACUGCUUUUGUACGGAACGAAACGGCGAGCUCUAAUACAGUUUGCUAAUGACGGUACCGUAAGAAUAAGCACCGGCUAACUACGUG